rnacentral:rRNA from 1 species
UACGUAGGUGACCAGCGUUGUCCGGAUUUACUGGGCGUAAAGAGCGCGCAGGCGGUCGUUCAAGUCGAGUGUGAAAGCCCCCGGCUCAACUGGGGAGGGUCACUCGAUACUGAUCGACUUGAAGGCAGGAGAGGGAAGCGGAAUUCCCGGUGUAGUGGUGAAAUGCGUAGAUAUCGGGAGGAACACCGGUGGCGAAGGCGGCGACCUGGGGUAGAUACUGACGCUGAGGCGCGAAAGCGUGGGGAGCAAACAGG